rnacentral:rRNA from 1 species
AAAUUGAAGAGUUUGAUCAUGGCUCAGAUUGAACGCUGGCGGCAGGCCUAACACAUGCAAGUCGAACGGUAACAGAAAGAA